rnacentral:tRNA from 1 species
CCCCACCUAGCUCAGUCGGUAGAGUGUGAGACUACCUCAGGAUCAUGGGUUCAAGCCCCAUGUUGGGCA